AUGUUAGGCCGUGUGGUCGACGCCUUGGGAGUACCUAUUGAUGGAAAAGGGGCUCUAAGCGAUCACGAACGAAGACGUGUCGAAGUGAAAGCCCCAGGGAUUAUUGAACGUAAAUCUGUGCACGGACCCAUGCAAACAGGCUUAAAAGCAGACAGGAUAAAGGGGUUGUCAAUCCCUUCACAGUCACUUACGAGAGUGAGAUAUGAUAGAUAUGAUAGGACAAUAUUUUUGGUAUUUUUAUGA
rnacentral:rRNA from 1 species